GGCUUCCUAGCUCAGUUGGUAGAGCAUUGCACCCGUAACGUAGAGGUCCUGGGUUUUUAAAAUCCCGUUAAAGUUG